rnacentral:rRNA from 1 species
AAUGAACGUUGGCGGCAUGGAUUAGGCAUGCAAGUCGAGCGCGAAGAGUCAUUUGCUUGCAUUUGACUCUGAAAACGGCGUAAGGGUGAGUAACGCGUAGUUACCUACCUCCGGGUCCGGAAUAGCUGCGGGAAACUGCAGGUAAUGCCGGAUAACAUCUCAGGAUCAAAGGUGAGAUUCCGCCCGGAGAGGGGACUGCGUCCUACUAGCUUGUUGGUGGGGUAAUGGCCUACCAAGGCUUCGAUGGGUAGCGGGCGUGAGAGCGUGGCCCGGCACACUGGGACUGAGACACUGCCCAGACACCUACGGGUGGCUGCAGUCGAGAAUCUUCGGCAAUGGGCGAAAGCCUGACCGAGCAAUGCCGCGUGCGGGAUGAAGGCCCUCGGGUUGUAAACCGCGAAAGUAAGGAGGAAGGACCUGCGAAGAGCAGGUUUUGACCGAUCUACAGUAAGGACGGGCUAAGUUCGUGCCAGCCGCCGCCGUAAAAC